AGGACGAACGCUGGCGGCGCGCUUAACACAUGCAAGUCGAGCGAGAACCGGGGCUUCGGCCCUGGGGACAGCGGCGAACGGGUGAGUAACACGUGGGUAAUCAACCCUCGGCACCGGGAUAGCCCGAGGAAACUCGGAUUAAUACCGGAUAGCCCCUCCGACUCUCGAGUCGGUCGGGAAAGGUAGCUUAGGCCUCUGGCCGGGGACGAGCCCGCGGCGGAUUAGCUUGUUGGUGGGGUAAUGGCCUACCAAGGCGACGAUCCGUAGCUGGUCUGAGAGGACGAUCAGCCACACUGGGACUGAGACACGGCCCAGACUCCUACGGGAGGCAGCAGUGGGGAAUCUUGCGCAAUGGGCGAAAGCCUGACGCAGCGACGCCGCGUGAGGGAAGAAGGCCUUCGGGUUGUAAACCUCUUUCAGGAGGACGAAGCUACUCGGGUGAAUAGCCCAGAGGGUGACGGUACCUCCAGAAGAAGCCCGGCUAACUACGUGCCAGCAGCCGC
rnacentral:rRNA from 1 species